UACGUAGGGACCGAGCGUUGUCCGGAAUCAUUGGGCGUAAAGAGCGUGUAGGCGGCCACUUAAGUCCUGCGUGAAAUCUUGCGGCUCAACCGCAAGCGGUCGUGGGAAACUGGGUGGCUAGAGUGCGGGAGAGGAGGGUGGAAUUCCUGGUGUAGCAGUGGAAUGCGCAGAUAUCAGGAAGAACACCCGUGGCGAAGGCGGCUCUCUGGAACGCAACUGACGCUGAGACGCGAAAGCGUGGGGAGCAAACAGG
rnacentral:rRNA from 1 species